rnacentral:lncRNA from 1 species
UCUUUUAGCCAAAGUUAUUUAUUGUUCUCAAUGAAGAUACCUUGGUUUACACAAAAUUUAUAUAUUAAAAUGUAAAAUGUAUAUAUCCAACAAUGAGAAAUUAUAAAAAAAAGUUAAAUUGGUAUCACGUUUGUGUAACAACGUAGGUAAACGGGUUAUAUUCAUCAUUUCAAUUAAUCAUUAUUUUGAAGCAUUUUUCUUAGUGUUCAUGAGUUUUUUGCUGCAAAUAAUGUAACACAAAAAGUAAUUGUAAUCAAAUGAAAUUACAACAUUUUAAGGUUGUGGUUGUAAUUACAACAUUUUAAGGUAGAUGAUAUGUAAUGACUUUCUGCGAUGUAUUUUAAGCAAUUCAGCAUUCUCUGGUUGGAACUAUCACGAUCAUUGCUUUCCAUGAAAAACGAAUAAAUGCUGAAAAAGCA